CUGGUUAGCUCUGUUGGUGGAGCUCUCCACUGGAAAUGGAGAGGACACUGGUUCGAUACCAGGACUAG
rnacentral:tRNA from 1 species